rnacentral:pre_miRNA from 1 species
AAAAGGUUUUUUCUUUUCGAAAAUGUUUGCGGUCCGAUAAAUCAAAUUGGCUGUGGAAUGUUGCGAGUCAUAUCACAGCCAUUUUGAUGACCUUGGCCCGCAAAACCGA